GGUGCUGUAGUUCAGUGGUCAAACCAUCUGUUUUGCUUGCAGUAGGUCCCAGAUUCAAUCUCUGGCAUCUCCU